GGCGCGCGCCAAAAAUUUUUAAAAAAAA
rnacentral:misc_RNA from 1 species